rnacentral:rRNA from 1 species
AGUGAACGCUGGCGGUAGGCCUAACACAUGCAAGUCGAACGGCAGCACAGUAAGAGCUUGCUCUUACGGGUGGCGAGUGGCGGACGGGUGAGGAAUACAUCGGAAUCUACUUUUUCGUGGGGGAUAACGUAGGGAAACUUACGCUAAUACCGCAUACGACCUACGGGUGAAAGCAGGGGAUCUUCGGACCUUGCGCGUUUGAAUGAGCCGAUGUCGGAUUAGCUAGUUUGCGGGGUAAAGGCCCACCCAGGCGACGACCCGUAGCUGGUAUGAGAGGAUGAUCAGCCACACUGGAACUGAGACACGGUCCAGACUCCUACGGGAGGCAGCAGUGGGGAAUAUUGGACAAUGGGCGCAAGCCUGAUCCAGCCAUACCGCGUGGGUGAAGAAGGCCUUCGGGUUGUAAAGCCCUUUUGUUGGGAAAGAAAAGCAGCAGGUUAAUAACCCGCUGUUCUGACGGUACCCAAAGAAUAAGCACCGGCUAACUUCGUG